CAUCCUGUGCAACCGCGCGAACAUUGUUUAAGUAGGCUUCGUGCCUCGCAAUCUAGGCGAGUCUUCACAGAGGG
rfam:Streptococcus agalactiae LMG 14747 ctg7180000010254, whole genome shotgun sequence.